rnacentral:rRNA from 1 species
UAGUAAUUCAAAGGGGUUAUUAAGGAUUAAUAGCAAAUUUAUAAAAUAGGAAAUUAAAGCCAGACAUAUAAGCAUUUCACUUAUUAUGAAAAUUUGAGUAUGAAUUUAUUCAAAAGUAAUAAUUUGUGUAAGGCUUAUAUUAAGAAUCUGAGAAAAUAAAAAUAAAAUUAUUUUCUAAGCGAUCCUAAAGGGAAACCUUAAAUUAAAAUCUACUUCCUGAAGUAAAACAUUUUAUUAAGGAAAGGAAAGGAAAUCAACCGAGACUCCGAGAGUAAUGGCGAGUGAAAUCGGAUUAGCCUAAAUUAAAUUAUAAAUUGAAAGUUAGUGUAAUAUGUUAUUGAAAGAUAAUAUAAAAAAUUACAAAUUAUAUUCGACUUAAGUAAACCUAGAAGAUAUAAUUAACUACAAAAGGUAAUAACAAAUAGUCCUGUAAGUUUAUAAUUUAAUAGAUUUUAGCAAAUAUAUAACCUCUUCUAGAAAGGAGAACGUUAUGUAAAAAUAUAAAAUAGUAGGAUGAGAGAAAACUUGUUUAAACAAAGGGGAACCAUCCUCUAAGGCUAAGUAUUAUAAAUUUAGCGAUAGUGAAAAGUACUGUGAAGGAAAUUAAUUGAAAAUGUCUCUUUUAAUGAGAAAAUGAAAAAGUUUAUGAAUUAGUAACCCUAUAAGCAGUCGAAGUUCUACUCUUUAGUUUAUAAAGAGAUAAAUGAAUGACGGCGUACCUUUUGCAUAAUGGGUCAGCAAGUUAAUAGGAGUAGCAAGGUUAAAAGCCCUAGCGAAAGCGACUGCAUUGUAAUAUUACGGUUUUUUUGUAUUAACUGUAAUAACAGUGGCGGAUUAGUUACUUAUAUUAGACCCGAAGGGAGGUGAUCUUAUCAGGACCAGAUUAUAAUGGAUCGAACGGGUGAGUGUUGCAUUACUCUCCGAAGAGUUCUGAUAAGCGGUGAAAUGCCAAUCUGACCUCCUUCUAGCUGGUUUUCUACGAAACAUAUUAAAGUAUGAGUUCUAUUCAAAAUUUAUGGAGGUACAGAACGGCAAUAUCCAACAAGAGAAAGAGUUUGAUUAAAAAUCAAAAAAUCUUUCUGGCGUUUAGGUAGCGGGGACCUCGAAAAUCUUACCUGUGAUAGGGAAGCUCGGAAUUACAUAAAUUGAUGAUAGAAAUUCAGACUGCUCAUGCUAAGGUGGGUAGUCAAGACGGAAAUAGCCGUUAACAUUGAUCAAGGUCCCAAAUGAUUGUCUAGUGAAUAUAAAGAUAAUAACAUUAUAUACUUAUUCAGCUGUGAAGUUAGCCUGGUAGUCGCUACUUAUAAUGAACGUUGUAACAACGCAUCAGCAGUCUAUAGUCAUGUUGUACUGAAAAUUCAACGGGUCUAAAACAAUCAACCGAUAUCAUGUUAAUUUUGAAUAAGAAUGUUUAAUAAGAAAUCUGAAUCUAAAUUUUAGAAAGUAUUAUUAAAUUUUAUUCAAAGUUUAGGUAGUAGAACAUUCAGUAAAACUGAUAAAAUAGCAGUGUUUCAUUGUUAUUAGGUUACUGAAGAGAGAAUGCUGACAUGAGUAACGUAAAAAGAAGUUAAAAAUCUUCUCGCCGAAUACGAAAGGUUUUCACUAAAAAGUUAGGCUAUUAGUGAUUUAAUGCGGUCUCUAAGGCACAGACCAAAUGGUUAGGCCGAUGAGUAUAAAAUAGAAAGUCCUUUUAAAAAAAUAAGAAAAGGACCAGGAAAAUAAUAUUUUAUAUAAUUUAUUUCUUACUAAAAAAAAAUUAGUAGAAAGUAAUUAUAAUAUUUCUCUGAAAAGAGUAAAUAUCUACCGUACCCUAAACCGACACAGGUUCGUUCGUAGAGUAUACCCAGGCGUAGAGCUAAAAGUUGUUAAGGAACUCGGCAAGUUCACCUCAUAAGUUUGACGACAAGAGGUACCGUUUCUCUUUAAAAAAGUUUAUUAACUAUAAAAAUUAUUAAUUUAUAGUUAUUUUUUAAAGUUAAUACGGUGGCACAGAAUCGGAGGCCCCGACUGUUUACUAAAAACACAGCUCAGUGCAAUCAUAAAAAUGAUAGUAUACUGAGUGAGAUUUGCCCGAUGCCAUUAAUAUAAGAGCGGUCAUUACAUAAAAGUGACUUAUCGAAAAUCUGGUUAAUAGCGGUCUUAACUAUGAGGAUCCUAAGGUAGCAAAAUCAGUUGGCCAUUAAAUGUGGUCCGGUAUCAAUAAUUUAACGAUGGUCUCACUGUCUCUACAACUUGCUCAGUGAAAUUGAAUUACGCGUGCAGAUGCGCGUUACUUACAGGGGGACGGGAAGACCCUAUGCAGCUUUACUGUAGUUAGUCAUCACAAAAAUCUAGAACAGCCUUUUUCAAUAGAAAAUAGGGAUGUCGAUAGACGAAAAUUUUUUGGAAACCUUAGGAUUAAGGCUGGGUUUUUGUUUAAUCCUUUCAUCUUGUAGAAAGAAAAGGAUAGAGCCGACUAAUUGGUAGUUUGACUGGGGCGGUCGUCUUUAAUAUAGUAUCAAAGUACAUCCAAAUUUAUAAUUUUUAUUUAAAAAAAAUAUUAAUUGCUUAUUUUUAAGCAGUUUUACGUCAUCUUAAUCUUAAAUUUCAAAUUUAUUUGAAGUUUGUGUAAUAAGUUUUUAAAAUAAAUUUUUCAAAGCUUCUAAAAACGAGAUCUUUUAGAAGUUAAUACAAAAUCCUUUGGGAUAAUAUUUGAUUUUUAUUAUUUUAAAAAUGUAACAAAAGGUAUUACUAGAAAAUGAAAGGAGAUCAAUCGACCAGUGAUAUGGUUGCGCAGAGUGUAAUGGCGGAAAGUAUACCUAACUGAAAGACCUAAAAGUCGCACAGAUACGUAAGUAGGGCAUAGUGACCCACAAUCUCUGUAUGGAGGGGGUUGUGAUCAAUUGAUAAAAGUUACGCUAGGGAUAACAGGCUGAUCCCGGAUGAGAGUACACAUUGUGUCCGGGGUUUGGCACCUCGAUGUCGACUCAACCACUCCUCUGGGUGAAGAAUCUCGGAAGGGUUCGGCUGUUCGCCGAUUAAAAGGUUACGUGAGUUGGGUUUAAUACGACGUAAGUCAGUAUGGUCCCUAUCUUCUGUAAGGAUAAAUAGUAAAAAGAGGCAGACCUUCUAGUACGAAAGGACCAAUAGGCUGGGUUUCUCUAGUGUACCAAUUGUUUAUACUAAAUAAAAGAUUUAAUCUUUACCCUUAAUUUUAUAUUAAGGUUAUUUGGGAAGGCAUAGUUGGGUAGCCACAAACCUAAUAGAUAAGUGCUGAUAGUCUAUCAAGCAAGAAUCUAACCUCUAGAUACUAAAAACUAAAAUUUUAAUCUUAAAAUUAUUAUUUAGUGGUGAAAUAAUCUACUAAUUUAGACUUUUAAUUUAUUACUAAUAAAUAUUAAAUUUAUAGGAUAAUUAGAAAUAGUUAAUCUAUUUUUUAAUAAUAUUAGUCUUGUUAAAUAAUAAUAAAAGUCUUGUUAAAUAAUUUAGAUUUAAUUUUUUUAGUGAAUUAAGAAAUAGAAUAUUUCUAAAUAGGCUGCAAAUGUAAGUACUGUAAGGUAUUAAGUUUAGCAGUACUAAUUUACAAUAAUAACUUGA